AAAUGGAGUCUUAAGCAACGCCAAAGCUACAGAACUUUAAGAGCGAAAGAAGAACAAAAAGUUUGAUGAAGGACGGUUGGAUAUGGCAACUUAACGAACACCAUAAACAAACAGUUGUUUUACAGAAAUGAAUGCAGAGGAAGAUCAAUCGCCAUCUAUCGAGUGCUGAAGGCGUAAAAAGUCGAUUUUCGUUGUGAUACGAGGCAGUAGAGGCAAAUGGUGUACUCUAUUGAUUUAUGAAAUGGUGGAGGAUAAUUUUAUUUCCUUGUUGUUGCUGCUGUGAAGCUCUCUCUGUAUUUGUAUUUAUUCAAGGAUUCUGAUAUUCAUCUUAAUAUUUGUAAUUAUAUACUAGAAAUUUUUCACACAAUUGCAUUAUCUUAAAUUUGUUUUAAAUAAAUCUAUAUUUCUGAUUUGAAACCAUCAAUGAAGUGCAGGGAUCUUACUUAAAUUAA